CCAAUCACCCGGCGUCCCAUUGCUCAACUCUCAUGAUACUCUCCCCACUGCCCUGCCCUGUAUAAACCUCACCCCAGUUAGCCUCCCCCUCUUUCUCGCCGUUGUUCGAGUGCUGAAACUUGGGAAGGCAACGGUCUGGACUGCGCCACAAUCCCCUGCUGGUUGGGGUUUUCUGGCCUCCCGGCUGUUCUUCCUGGGCCCUGCCAGACGAGCACCCACCAGGGGCCUUCACCUUUGCCGUUGCUGACACCCUGCAUCCACACCGGUCCCUGAUCUCUGGGAAAUCAACUACUAGAACAACCAUGAUUGAUAAAAAUAAUAGUCCUAUAACUAUAUUCUAAAUUCCAAAAUGCUUGCUAUCCAUUUAAAAUUGUAAUAGUUAAGCUCACUGCUCCUACUGCACUACUAAUGUCACUGAUCUUCUCUUCUGGGGUUCAACAAUUAAAGUUUGGAGACCAAAACUAGAAAGGUAAGGGCUAAGAGGACAGCCAAUAUUUUGGCCCUGGCCCUCCAAGGUCAACAAAGAAUCCAGGACAUGAGGGAACCUUUUCUAUGGGAUCCUACAUCUUUGUUAAGUCACCCAACCUCCUGAGCAGGGAGAUUGCUGGACACCAGAGGACAAUGUACCAUGUGCCAAAGGAGGGUCGCAAAAAGGGAAAAAUCUCCCACGUUUUCAAUGAAAGUGAUAUGGUCAAGCAAGGCCUUCACCCAUCCUGGCUGACACCGACAGAGGAGCUGAGAGCUCUGUGCUUGGUUCCAAAGUAAUGCCUGAGGAGACUUAACUGACCUUGAUAGAUAGCAAGAGGUUAAUUUUAUUUAAUGUAGGUCUCACUGAAACUUGGUUUUAAACACCGUAUAGAAAAGCACAACUAAAGAUACAUAUCUAUGUAGCUAGACUUAAAAAGAGGCUUUAAAAACCCCUCCUUCAUACAGGGGAAUUGAUUUAUUGUCCCUAAAAAGGCAGUUCAAACACAUCGGAGACUCGAACAUCUCUUUAACACCACCUUAUUAAAUCUGCCAGGAAACCAAAAUGAAUGUUGGAUGUGCCUGUCUUCUUGAUUUCAGCCAUAUGUCCCGAUACCUGUAUCCCUCCCCGCCCCCCAUUAAAACCCGAUUCCCACAUUGUCACCACAAUGCUAGGUCCUUUUACAUCCCUACUAGAGUCCACCAAACAUGACAAUUAGACAUUUACAAAUUCGUCCAAACUUAAACAAAACAUAUCGACCCCGUGUGCUCUCAUUGUCAACACUCUGGAGUCUUCCAUAACCUGCCUCUCUAAGGGGAUGUUCUUCAUCUGUGAUUCCCAAGCUUUCUGCUUCAUAAAUGGAACCCCUUCCUAUGUUAUGUGGGCUUCCUUAGCCCUCCCCUCACCAUCUAUAUUGAAACCCAAAAGUUACAAUAGUUUUCUCCCCACCAUGUUAACAAGCGUGCCCUUCCUGUACUCCCUUUCCUAAUGGGAGCUGGAGUUCUAGUGGAAAUUGGCCCUGGGGUGGCAGGAACAUCAACAUCAACACACUUCUAUUACUCCUUAUACCAAGAGCUAAAUGAAGAUAUGGAAAAGGUAGCUGACCCUCUUGUCACCCUACAGUCCCAAAUCAGUUCGCUGAGAGCUGUCGUACUCCAAAAUAGACAAUAUAAUUAUGGCAGAAAGAGGCGGAACUUGCCUCCUAUUAGGAGAAGAGUGUUGUUACUUUGUAAACCAAUCUGGCAUUGUUGGAGACAAAGUAAAGGAGCUCAGGGAGCACAUAGAAAAAUGUAGACGAGAUCUAGACUGACUACAAUCUCUGCCAGGAUACUUUGACCAGUGGCUUCCAUGGCUUCUUCCUUUCCUGGGACCCCUCACCAUCCUCUGGAUAAUCCUGCUUUUUGGACCCUGUCUGUUUUGCUGUUUUCAAAAAUUCUCACAGGAAUGCAUGCAGGUCUUUACCAACCAGACGGUCAGCGAACUCAUCAUGGCUGGCUACCAGCCCCUCACUGCUCAUGCUGGCUCCACUUGAUGAGACCACACGUUAGCUGUCUAAAGCUCCCACCCAACAAUGCCCCUUUGACAGCAAGAAGCAGCUACAGAAAAAGAGAACUUCGCCCUUAUUCCAUAAUAAGAAGAGUCUGGAAUGAUAGAGUUCUCUACCAGACAAAAUGGCCCCAAUGGUCCUACAUUCUAAAAUGGCUUCUGUUCCUAAAAUGGUUCCUGAUUACGGAAAUGAGCCACGUGUGUGUGUGUGUGUGUGUGUGUGUGUGUGUGUGUGUGUGUGUGAAGCAAAACUUAACUUGUUGCUCCACCCUGCUACCCAUGUGAUCCUCCCCUUCCAAUCACCUGGCGUCCCAUUGCUCAACUCUCAUGAUACUCUCCCCACUGUACUGCCCUGUAUAAACCUCACCCCAG
rnacentral:lncRNA from 1 species